rnacentral:rRNA from 1 species
UACGAAGGGGGCUAGCGUUGUUCGGAAUUACUGGGCGUAAAGCGCGCGCAGGCGGUCUUCCAAGUCAGUGGUGAAAGCCCGGAGCUCAACUCCGGAACUGCCAUUGAAACUGUAAGACUUGAGGACGAGAGAGGUGAGUGGAAUUCCCAGUGUAGAGGUGAAAUUCGUAGAUAUUGGGAAGAACACCAGUGGCGAAGGCGGCUCACUGGCCCGGUACUGACGCUGAGGUGCGAAAGCGUGGGGAGCAAACAGG